AAGAGACAGCAGCAGCCACGGGAAUACAGAGGGUGCGAGCGUUAAUCGGAUUUACUGGGCGUAAAGCGUGCGUAGGCGGCUUCUUAAGUCGGAUGUGAAAUCCCUGAGCUUAACUUAGGAAUUGCAUUCGAUACUGGGAAGCUAGAGUAUGGGAGAGGAUGGUAGAAUUCCAGGUGUAGCGGUGAAAUGCGUAGAGAUCUGGAGGAAUACCGAUGGCGAAGGCAGCCAUCUGGCCUAAUACUGACGCUGAGGUACGAAAGCAUGGGGAGCAAACAGGAUUAGAUACCCCCGUAGUCCCUGUCUCUUAUAC
rnacentral:rRNA from 1 species